rnacentral:pre_miRNA from 1 species
UGAGUGUGUGUGUGUGAGUGUGUGUCGCUCCAAGUCCACGCUCAUGCACACACCCACA